GUCCAAGAAUCCGAUGGGAUCGCCGGCACAGGCGUAUGAUCAAGAACCGUGAAUCUGCAGCUCGAUCAAGAGCUAGGAAACAGGCUUACACCAAUGAGUUGGAGAUUGAAGUUUCACAUCUUAUGGAAGAGAAUGCAAGACUAAGAGAGAGCAAGAACAGUUACGCGCAGGUGGUGCCUCUCCGCUUUCUAAAAAGCGCACGCUUACGUUAACGGCUCCAUUUUGAGGAAAAAUAGAUCCGUCCAUGCUUUCCUUUUAACAGUAACCC